rnacentral:tRNA from 1 species
AGUCUCGUGGUGUAGCGGUUAUCACGCCUGCUUUAAACGCAGGAGGUCGCCGGUCCGAUCCCCGUCCGAGAUCA